UAGGUAGGUAACAUUGGUGGGAAAGAAUUUUCUGAGUCACUAGCCCCAGAUGUCUAGAAACUUCUUAUUUCAAGUAGCGGCCGUCCUGUUGUCAGAAAGAAGGCUGCUCUAUGCCUUCUGCGGCUUUAUAGGAAGAAUCCUGAUGUUGUGAAUAUUGAUUUCUGGGCUGAUCGAAUGGCACAACUUCUAGAUGAGCGCUACCUAGGUGUGCUGACAUCUGUCAUGACUCAUGACCCUUUUUGUUUCAUUAGUAUCCAACAAUGCGGAAGCAUAUUGGAAUUGCCUUCCAGAAUGU